AAGUCUGAUGGAGCAACGCCGCGUGAGUGAAGAAGGCUUUCGGGUCGUAAAACUCUGUUGUUGGAGAAGAAUGGUCGGCAGAGUAACUGUUGUCGGCGUGACGGUAUCCAACCAGAAAGCCACGGCUAACUACGUGCCAGCAGCCGCGGUAAUACGUAGGUGGCAAGCGUUAUCCGGAUUUAUUGGGCGUAAAGCGAGCGCAGGCGGUUUUUUAAGUCUGAUGUGAAAGCCCUCGGCUUAACCGAGGAAGUGCAUCGGAAACUGGGAAACUUGAGUGCAGAAGAGGACAGUGGAACUCCAUGUGUAGCGGUGAAAUGCGUAGAUAUAUGGAAGAACACCAGUGGCGAAGGCGGCUGUCUGGUCUGUAACUGACGCUGAGGCUCGAAAGCAUGGGUAGCGAACAGGAUUAGAUACCCUGGUAGUCCAUGCCGUAAACGAUGAAUGCUAGGUGUUGGAGGGUUUCCGCCCUUCAGUGCCGCAGCUAACGCAUUAAGCAUUCCGCCUGGGGAGUACGACCGCAAGGUUGAAACUCAAAGGAAUUGACGGGGGCCCGCACAAGCGGUGGAGCAUGUGGUUUAAUUCGAAGCAACGCGAAGAACCUUACCAGGUCUUGACAUCUUUU
rnacentral:rRNA from 2 species